rnacentral:rRNA from 1 species
GUGGGGAAUAUUGCACAAUGGGGGAAACCCUGAUGCAGCAACGCCGCGUGAGUGAUGAAGGCCUUCGGGUUGUAAAGCUCUGUCUUCAGGGACGAUAAUGACGGUACCUGAGGAGGAAGCCACGGCUAACUACGUGCCAGCAGCCGCGGUAAUACGUAGGUGGCAAGCGUUGUCCGGAUUUACUGGGCGUAAAGGGAGCGUAGGCGGAUACUUAAGUGGGAUGUGAAAUACCUGGGCUUAACUUGGGUGCUGCAUUCCAAACUGGGUGUCUAGAGUGUUGGAGAGGAAAGUAGAAUUCCUAGUGUAGCGGUGAAAUGCGUAGAGAUUAGGAAGGAUACCAGUGGCGAAGGCGACUUUCUGGACUGUAACUGACACUGAGGCUCGAAAGCGUGGGGAGCAAACAGGAUUAGAAACCCGUGUAGUCC